UGAAAGCCCCCGGCUUAACCGGGGAGGGUCAUUGGAUACUGGGGAACUUGAGUGCGGAAGAGGAGAGUGGAAUUUCCCGUGUAGCGGUGAAAUGCGUAGAGAUGUGGAGGAACACCAGUGGCGAAGGCGACUCUCUGGUCUGUAACUGACGCUGAGGAGCGAAAGCGUGGGGAGCGAACAGGAUUAGAUACCCUGGUAGUCCACGCCGUAAACGAUGAGUGCUGAAUGUUAGGGGGUUUCCGCCCCUUAGUGCUGCAGCUAACGCAUUAAGCUCUCCGCCUGGGGAGUACGGUCGCAAGACUGAAACUCAAAGGAAUUGACGGGGGCCCGCACAAGCGGUGGAGCAUGUGGUUUAAUUCGAAGCAACGCGAAGAACCUUACCUGGUCUUGACAUCCUCUGACGUUCCUAGAGAUAGGACGUCGCCUUCGGGGGCUCAGUGACAGGUGCUGCAUGGUUGUCGUCAGCUCGUGUCGUGAGAUGUUGGGUUAAGUCCCGCAACGAGCGCAACCCUUGAUCUUAGUUGCCAGCAUUC
rnacentral:rRNA from 1 species